rnacentral:rRNA from 1 species
GGUAACAGGUCUAGCUUGCUACCUGCUGACGAGCGGCGGACGGGUGAGUAAUGCAUAGGAAUCUGCCCGAUAGUGGGGGAUAACCUGGGGAAACCCAGGCUAAUACCGCAUACGUCCUACGGGAGAAAGGGGGCUUCGGCUCCCGCUAUUGGAUGAGCCUAUGUCGGAUUAGCUAGUUGGUAAGGUAAUGGCUUACCAAGGCAACGAUCCGUAGCUGGUCUGAGAGGAUGAUCAGCCACAUCGGGACUGAGACACGGCCCGAACUCCUACGGGAGGCAGCAGUGGGGAAUAUUGGACAAUGGGGGCAACCCUGAUCCAGCCAUGCCGCGUGUGUGAAGAAGGCCCUCGGGUUGUAAAGCACUUUCAGCGAGGAAGAACGCCUAUCGGUUAAUACCCGGUAGGAAAGACAUCACUCGCAGAAGAAGCACCGGCUAACUCCGUGCCAGCAGCCGCGGUAAUACGGAGGGUGCAAGCGUUAAUCGGAAUUACUGGGCGUAAAGCGCGCGUAGGUGGCUUGAUAAGCCGGUUGUGAAAGCCCCGGGCUCAACCUGGGAACGGCAUCCGGAACUGUCAGGCUAGAGUGCAGGAGAGGAAGGUAGAAUUCCCGGUGUAGCGGUGAAAUGCGUAGAGAUCGGGAGGAAUACCAGUGGCGAAGGCGGCCUUCUGGACUGACACUGACACUGAGGUGCGAAAGCGUGGGUAGCAAACAGGAUUAGAUACCCUGGUAGUCCACGCCGUAAACGAUGUCGACCAGCCGUUGGGUGCCUAGAGCACUUUGUGGCGAAGUUAACGCGAUAAGU